rnacentral:rRNA from 1 species
AUGCUGACAUGAGUAGCGACAAAGCGGGUGAGAGACCCGCUCGCCGAAAAUCCAAGGGUUCCUGCGUAAAGCUAAUCUGCGCAGGGUUAGCCGGCCCCUAAGGCGAGGCCGAAAGGCGUAGCCGAUGGGAACCACGUUAAUAUUCGUGGGCCUGGGAGUGUGUGACGGAUUUCGAAAGUUGUCAUCCCUUAUCGGAUUGGGGUGGCAGCCUGGAAGUCCCAGGAAAUAGCCCUCCCGUAUAGACCGUACCCUAAACCGACACAGGUGGAUAGGUAGAGAAUACCAAGGCGCUU